rnacentral:rRNA from 1 species
UAGAGUUUGAUCCUGGCUCAGGAUGAACGCUGGCGGUCUGCUUAACACAUGCAAGUCGAACGCAACCUUCGGGUUGAGUGGCGGACGGGUGAGUAACGCGUGAGAAUCUGCCUUGGGGUCGGGGACAACCACUGGAAACGGUGGCUAAUACCGGAUAAGCCUUUGGGUAAAAGAUUUAUUGCCCCAAGAGGAGCUCGCGUCUGAUUAGCUAGUUGGUGAGGUAAAAGCUCACCAAGGCAGCGAUCAGUAGCUGGUCUGAGAGGACGAUCAGCCACACUAGGACUGAGACACGGCCCAGACUCCUACGGGAGGCAGCAGUGGGGAAUUUUCCGCAAUGGGCGAAAGCCUGACGGAGCAAGACCGCGUGAGGGAGGAAGGCUCUUGGGUUGUAAACCUCUUUUCUCAGGGAAGAAGCUCUGACGGUACCUGAGGAAUCAGCCUCGGCUAACUCCGUGCCAGCAGCCGCGGUAAUACGGAGGAGGCAAGCGUUAUCCGGAAUUAUUGGGCGUAAAGCGUCCGCAGGUGGCGAUUCAAGUCUGCUGUCAAAGCACGGGGCUUAACUCCUGUUAAGGCAGCGGAAACUGAAUAGCUAG